AUGAGGCAGCGGGUGCGAGUAGUCCGGUCGCACAACGCUGAUAUGGUAUGCUUGGUUGGGCAACGAAUGACACGAUUUUGAUUCGGGUAAAUGAGAUUUCGAUUUGAUUCCACACGAAGUUCGCAUGGCACGUUUCCACAAGACUUGCUAAUAUGACAAACACCAUGUUUCCAUAUUAGUUUUAUCUUGUGAAGCAAUGUCAUGCACCCUAACAUUACACCACCUGCGAUGACUUCCAAGUAACAUUCGAACAUCGAUAGACAAUAGAUUUCAACAGAUUGAUAAGCGACGAUUGUUGCGUUGCGAGUGAUAGACGAUUGAUUGAACUGAUUACACCACGAAUAGUACUAAGGCUAGCCCACACGGCCUUUUUCCACAAAGUCAACUAAUAUGUAUCGAGUGGAUGGAUUAGGUGCGAGGCGCGUUAAGAGUGGAAGG
rnacentral:lncRNA from 1 species